CCUAAUACAUGCAAGUAGAACGCUGAAGAGAGGAGCUUGCUCUUCUUGGAUGAGUUGCGAACGGGUGAGUAACGCGUAGGUAACCUGCCUUGUAGCGGGGGAUAACUAUUGGAAACGAUAGCUAAUACCGCAUAACAAUGGGUGACACAUGUCAUUUAUUUGAAAGGGGCAAUUGCUCCACUACAAGAUGGACCUGCGUUGUAUUAGCUAGUAGGUGAGGUAACGGCUCACCUAGGCGACGAUACAUAGCCGACCUGAGAGGGUGAUCGGCCACACUGGGACUGAGACACGGCCCAGACUCCUACGGGAGGCAGCAGUAGGGAAUCUUCGGCAAUGGGGGCAACCCUGACCGAGCAACGCCGCGUGAGUGAAGAAGGUUUUCGGAUCGUAAAGCUCUGUUGUAAGUCAAGAACGAGUGUGAGAGUGGAAAGUUCACACUGUGACGGUAGCUUACCAGAAAGGGACGGCUAACUACG
rnacentral:rRNA from 1 species